rnacentral:misc_RNA from 1 species
AAAAAGACCAAACAUGAUAGUUCAACAGGAUAAAUACAAAUAUUAGCGGUAAAAUACUAUAUCCUAGGAGAAAGCGAUAAAGUCUUCAGAAUGAUUCAGCUCUUGCUUUGCUAGAGAGUUUGCGAUUGAAUUUCCCUCCCAAAGAGUAUGUGUUACUUGCACCGGAGGCAAAGCAUUCAUGAAGACUGACAUCUCGUUAAUGACUGAGGAUAAUCUCCAAGGUGCUAAGGCAGGAUUCAGUACUCAGGAGACUGCAACUUGCGAGUCAGACUCCAAGAUAAUGGAUAAGAGGGCACUAAACAGGGACGACGAAGUUACAAACAUCUCCAACGCUUCGCGAAUGGCAUAUAAUUCUGCGGCAUUGGAGUCUAAGCAUCCUAUAGGACAAGAGAAGAUGCAACAAAAAUGGCCAUCAGAAUUACGAAGAACUCCACCGGCACUGACCAUAAGGUUCGUAGUUGAAAAGGGAAAGUUUUCUUGAAUAGUCUUCAUCCACAUAUACGGACAGGUGGUGAAGAAUUAUGGUGCUGAGGUCCAUUGUUAA